CCGAGUUUACAACUCCCAAACCCCGUGAACAUACCUUUAUGUUGCCUCGGCGGAUCAGCCCGCGCCCCGUAAAACGGGACGGCCCGCCGCAGGAAACCCUAAACUCUGUUUUUAGUGGAACUUCUGAGUAUAAAAAACAAAUAAAUCA
rnacentral:misc_RNA from 1 species